CAGUAGCCACGGGAAUACAGAGGGUGCGAGCGUUAAUCGGAUUUACUUGGCGUAAAGCGUGCGUAGGCGGCUUUUUAAGUCGGAUGUGAAAUCCCUGAGCUUAACUUAGGAAUUGCAUUCGAUACUGGGAAGCUAGAGUAUGGGAGAGGAUGGUAGAAUUCCAGGUGUAGCGGUGAAAUGCGUAGAGAUCUGGAGGAAUACCGAUGGCGAAGGCAGCCAUCUGGCCUAAUACUGACGCUGAGGUACGAAAGCAUGGGGAGCAAACAGGAUUAGAUACCCCCGUAGUCCCUGUCUCUUAUAC
rnacentral:rRNA from 1 species